rnacentral:lncRNA from 1 species
UGCAUGGAUCACCAGCAAAGGGUGCACAAUGUAAACCCUAAAUCCAUAAAAAUUCCAAAAAAAAUUUGGAUAAAUUCGGUGCAAAAUUGAAAGAGUUUUGGAUUUCUAAAACUCUAUCUCAUAGAAUUCGAAAUCCAAACUUAUUCCUUUUAGAUUUGAUCCAAACCACCUUCCAUGUAAGAGAGAAGAGAGGAGACCUUUUGUGAAUGUGGGAGAGAUCUGGGAGAGGGCUUUUGUCACACAAAAUAAGUGGAGAUUGGCAUUGAAUUAAGAGAGAGGGCGUGGAGAAGGCUUAUGUGGCGCAAGGUGGAAUCCUAGUCUUACUAGGAUUCUGUCUUAUGACUUGUUU